GGAGAGGUCGCAUAGUGGCCUAGUGCGUCCGCUUGGAGAGCGGAUAGGUCCGCAAGGGCCUCGCGAGUUCGAAUCUCGCCCUCUCCGCCA
rnacentral:tRNA from 3 species